rnacentral:rRNA from 1 species
UACGAAGGGGGGCUAGCGUUGCUCGGAAUUACUGGGCGUAAAGGGCGCGUAGGCGGAUAUUUAAGUUGGGGGUGAAAUCCCGGGGGCUCAACCCUCGGAAUUGCCUUCAAAACUGGAUAUCUUGAGUUCGGGAGAGGUGAGUGGAACUCCGAGUGUAGAGGUGAAAUUCGUAGAUAUUCGGAAGAACACCAGUGGCGAAGGCGACUCACUGGCCCGAUACUGACGCUGAGGCGCGAAAGCGUGGGGAGCAAACGGG